GGCGAAGAAGGACGUGACAAGCUGCGAUAAGCUCCGGGGACCCGCACGUGGGGGUUGAUCCGGAGAUCUCUCAAUGAGACUUCUCCUUCGAGUCCGUGAGGACAGCAAACGCCGGGAACUGAAACGUCUCAGUACCGGCAGGAAAAGAAACCAAUUGGGAUGCUGUGAGUAAGAGCGACCGAAAACAGCAAAGGGCAAACCGAAUCCUGCGCCGAAAGGCGUCGGAAAUGUGGUGUUGAAGGACCUUCUUUUAGUCCUACUUUACCGAGACAAAGUCCACUGGAACGUGGUGCCAGAGAGGGUGACAGCCCCGUGGUCAAAGGUAGAGAAGAUGUGAAGGUAUCCUGAAUAGCGCGCCUUGGGUAUGGCGUGUGAAUCUGGGGGACAACUACCUCCAACCCUAAAUACGUCGUGAGUCCGAUAGCGAACCCAGUACCGCGAGGGAACGCUGAAAAGAACUCUUCACGGAGAGUUAAAAGCGCGUGAAAUCGUCUAGUUAUAGAAAGAUGCGCGGCUUCGGUCGUGCAUCGUCCGUUUUGAAUAACGUGCCAGGGAGUGUACGUGCGUGGCGAGGCUAACCGCAGUAAUCCGGGAAGCCGAAGGGAAACCAAUCGCUCGCAGUUUACGAGGAGCAUCGUGUGAAAGCGCGAUGAGUCACUUGCGUACGACCCGAAGCCACUCGAUCUAACCCGGGGUAAGGUGAAGCGGCGGUAAAACGCCGUGGAGGCCUGUAGAGGUUCUCUAUGCAUAGGUUCUUUUAACCUCGGGCUAGGGGUAAAAAGCCAAUCGAGAGUGGUGAUAGCUGGUUCCAGCCGAAGUUGGCCGUAGUCAAGCCUGGGCUGAUGCUGCGUACAAGUGUAGAGUUACUGAUUGGGGGUUUAGGGGGCGCAAGCCCUCGGCCCCUUGUCAAACUCCGAACCUUGUACGAGCGUAGAAGCCUGGAGACGCCUGUCCGCCGUAAGGGUGGGCAAGGAAAGGGGAACAACCCAAACUAUGGUUAAGGUCCCUCAAUAUCCAUUAAGUGUGAAAGGGUGAAGGUUGUUAGCAUCCAUAGACAGCGAGGCGGUAUGCUCAGAAGCAGCAAUCCGUUAAAAAGUGCGUAACAGCUUACUUGUCAAGGGUGCUAGCGCCCAAAAUGGACGGGGCUAAAUGGAUUACCGAUACCAUAGACCAACGCAAGUUGUGUGGUAGGCUGGUGUACCGCUUGGGAAGAAGCACGACCGAGAGGUUGUGUGGACCGUGCGGUAAUAAGAAUCCUGGUGGGAGUAAGAUCAGAGUGCGGUGAGAAUCCGCAUCGCCGAAAGGGCAAGGGUUCCUCAACAACGUAGAUCGGUUGAGGGUUAGUCGAUCCUAAGCGAGCAGGGAAAUCCUGUGUAGCGCGAAAGGGCAUCCGGUUAAUAUUCCGGAACUAUCUUUGUAUACGUGGCGACACAAGGUUGUGUUUCGACGUUUUAGGCUAGGUGGACACGGCCUCCCGGCCGUGGUAAUUCGUGCAAGUCUCGGGAGUAUCGUUAUGAUGAGAACGAGAGUAAUGCGAAGAAUCGUGGACCUCUGGUCCAUUCCGCUGAUGCCUGGAGCCUCUGAAAAGAGACACAGCAGAGAUCAAAGAUAUUCGUACCCAGAACCAGCACUGGUGCCCCUAGGUGAGAAGCCUAAGGUGUGAAGGGAAAAAGUAGGUAAGGGAACUCGGCAUAUUAGCCCCGUAUCUUCGGUAUAAGGGGUCCCUACGUCUGUGCGCGCACGCGUGCAUCUGUAGGGUGCAAUUACAAAGGAGGUCCAACUGUUUAACAAAAACGUAGCCGACUGCGAGCCAGUAAUGGUGUGUAUAGUCGGUGACGUCUGCCCAGUGUCAGUACCUAAAACUCCGGUCCAACGGAGCUAAGGGCUGGUAAACGGCGGGGGUAACUAUAACUCUCUUAAGGUGGGCAAGCUGCCUUAAGUCCCGUACGUAAGCCAAUAGUUAAACAGGAACGCCGCGAAAAGCGGGAUACAUGCUCAGAAACGAACAGUUUCUGGCACAUCUGGUUCGGCAACGAACAUAGAUGAAUCUGGCCAUAUGCUGGAACAUCUCGAAGAAGCAAGGUAGGCUACCAUUGAGGCGACUCAGUGGCGAACCCUGAAAAUCCUUGUGGAGAGACAAUCAGCAGGAAAGACCUGUUCUAGGACAGGAAUCCUCAGAGACUACAUGCCAGAGCGUCGCUCGCGACGCAAGAUAUAGUCCGAACUCAUAGGCGACUAUGAGAGGAAUUCAGAAAUGAGUUCUCGCCAAAGUAAUUUGGUCAGUAAGUCCAUUACGACUGAAGCAACAGAACUUUCAGUGAGUCAGGUUGGUGCGCUUGAGCGUAAGCGAAACGCACAGUUUUGGCCAGACUUUACUAAAAGGCUGAGCGAAAUGCCUUGCCGUUUGAUUGACGGCCUGCAUGAAUGGCGUAAUGAGAUCUCCACUGUCCCUAUCUACGUCCCUCCGAACAUCCGUUUCUGGUGCACACGCCAGAGUGGUCCAGUGGGAAGCGAAGACCCCGUGAAACUUUACUGUAGCCUGUUGCUGUGACGUGAAUGUUGUUGUAUAGAGUAAGAAGGAGAGGUCAAAGCGGCGACGCCAGUCGCCGUGUACUCAACGAUGUAACACUUCUCUUCGAUGUUUACGCCACUCACCCGCGCAAGCGGGGACACCAGUAGGUGGACAGUUUGUCUGGGGCGGAACGCCGUUGAAACUGUAUCAAUGGCGCCCAAUGGUCGGCUCAACCGGGUCAGAAAUCCGGUGUAGAGUGCAAGGGCAAAAGCCGGCCUAACUGGGAUCCCAAUGUGACAGAUCUCAGUAGGGAAACCUGGGCCUAGCGAUCCCUUAGCUCUCUUGGUUGGGGGC
rnacentral:rRNA from 1 species